rnacentral:rRNA from 1 species
UACAGAGGUCUCAAGCGUUGUUCGGAUUCAUUGGGCGUAAAGGGUGCGUAGGUGGCGGGGUAAGUCAGGUGUGAAAUUUCGGAGCUUAACUCCGAAACUGCAUUUGAUACUGCCUUGCUUGAGGGCUGGAGAGGAGACUGGAAUUCACGGUGUAGCAGUGAAAUGCGUAGAGAUCGUGAGGAAGACCAGUGGCGAAGGCGGGUCUCUGGACAGUUCCUGACACUGAGGCACGAAGGCCAGGGGAGCAAACGGG